rnacentral:rRNA from 1 species
GUAGGUGGCAAGCGUUGUCCGGAAUUAUUGGGCGUAAAGCGCGCGCAGGCGGUUCUUUAAGUCUGAUGUGAAAGCCCACGGCUCAACCGUGGAGGGUCAUUGGAAACUGGAGAACUUGAGUACAGAAGAGGAAAGCGGAAUUCCACGUGUAGCGGUGAAAUGCGUAGAGAUGUGGAGGUACACCAGUGGCGAAGGCGGCUUUCUGGUCUGUAACUGACGCUGAGGCGCGAAAGCGUGGGGAGCAAACAGGAUUAGAUACCCUGGUAGUCCACGCCGUAAACGAUGAGUGCUAAGUGUUAGGGGGGUUUCCGCCCCCCUUAGUGCUGCAGCUAACGCAUUAAGCACUCCGCCUGGGAUACGGCCGCAAGGCUG